UCCCUGGUGGUCUAGUGGUUAGGAUUUGAUACUUUCACUUUGGGGGCCUGGGUUUGAUCCCUAGUCUGGGAA
rnacentral:tRNA from 1 species